GAGAUAGCUUGCAGAGCCAUAACCAAUGCCACCGAGAAAGAUGGAAGAUUCGAGAAGCAAGCCAUGCCAACAUCACGGUAAUCAUGCUGCGUAUGGACGCUUUUUGUGGCAUCGAUCGGAGAGCUAAUCGUGUGCAAAUUUACAGAAUAGAUUGAGAUUGUAGUAAAUGGUAUGAGCAGUUUUGCAGUAAACAUUGAAAUAGACAAAAAAGUCUUCCGGAUCUUCCUAGAUUAUUCGAGCCGUUUUCUUCAAUACAUAUACCCUCACUCCUUGACCCCGGACUCGAGGCAUUUUGAUGGAAGACUCUGUAAUAAGCCGCGCAGUGAGUAACCAUAGCAUGACUUCGAAUUAUAUAUACCUUUCGUUCUAUAAAUGUACACACUUAUUAUACUAAAAGGAGGUUUCCAAGUAAUUCAAUUCAAUACAUUGCACCCAAUUAUACGCUUCUCCUUUUCGAUUUAUUAAUAAUAGGGGAGAGCGGGGCUAAUAAAGUCACUUAAGGGUUUGGAAAAGGCUUAAAAUAUCAUAUUUCCUAUCUAGGUAGAACAAAAUGAUCUUAGAAAGAGUUGUAGGGCAAGAAAUAUCCUAAAGAAUUGGACUAUACAUUUCGCUUUAUCUGUUUGGGAAAUAUGAUAUUUUGAGCUUUUUCUAAACCCUUAAGUGACUUUUUUAACCCCGCUCUUCCCUAAUAUAUAACCAAAAUCUUAUUAGAUUUUUCCUAGAAAAGAAAUCUUUAGCAAGACAACUAUAUUAUCCCCCAAUAAUUGGCUUACUCUCCUAACAUGGAAACAUUCUAUAAUUGGGCUUAAAGAGAAUGAAAGUAUUGCAGAAAAACUAAUUCUGCAAUUAACCAAAAAAUGUAUUUUUUGUAGAUUUCCUUACAAUAUUCAGAAUAAGAAUUUUGCAUAAAAAAUUAAAGAUUUUCACAAAGAAUAUUCUUUGAAGAAAGCUUCCUUUUUUUCUUAUUCUUACACAAUUCAAUUGGUAAAAGAUUUUUUUAUGAAGUAUACAUAAAGUAAAACCAUAUUAAGUAUGAAGAAGUUAAAAAGGAUUCUCUAGAGAAUUAAAAUGAGAAAUUAUUUAACUUUAUUCUUAUACUUGAUGAUUUCUUUCAAUAUUUUAUUACUAUAGAAAUAAUUUUUAUAAAUAAAAUUAAUUUACUAAUUUAUUAAGCUCUUUGUAUUGACAAUAAUGGCUUAUAUGAGUAUUAAGAGUUGCAUCUCGAAUUUCUUUAUAUUAUGUGGUGAAAUGUCAUUAAGGAUUAAUAUCUUUGAGACGGAUUCCAGGAAUGGCUUAUCAUUGUUUGAGUGUGUAAACAAUUAAGUGGAAAAACAACAUUAGAAGACCGUUAAAGAGACUACUUUAUCUAAAAUUUAAGGAUGAUAUUUUAAAAGGAAAUUAUAGGGUUAAUUUUCUUUUUUUUUCUCUUUCUUUAUUAAGUUUUGGAGGAGUAGUAGAAAUUUUUAUUAAUUUGUUUGUCAUUCUAAAUGCCCCACACUGUCUGUUUUGAGCAAUAAGAGUUGAAAAAAAUCAAUUUUAUAUUUAAAAGAAACAUUCAAACCACCAAUGAUUCAAAAAUUCUUCAAAAAGAAUAAAAGAAAUUAAGGAAAAAUUCAACAUGCAAAGAAAAUUCCAUUUUCUUGUAAAAGUUUUACGUACCAUGGUGAUGAAAAUGUGAAUUUUUGAGUGAAAAUCUUUUGUGGUUUAGCCAUUUGGAUUGUACAGUAGUUACGUUUAAACGGCUCCACGUGCCGAAUUUUAUCUUUAAAACAAAAAUACAAUUAUUGAGGAGGAAAAAAAGGCCUCUGACGACAUGGGCAUGGCACUUGGGCUAGUAUGUAUGGCAGAUGACACCCUCAAACUGCUUUUCUGUGUUGUAAAAGUUAAAAAAAAAAGUUCGAGAAUAAUAUUUCGAGAAUUAUCUCGCGAAAGACAUCAGUUCAAUGGUUUUUCUGGCAUGAAGAUUAUUUCUCAUCUCUUAAUUUUGCACAUGUCUCUCAUUAAAGGAAUGCACACAAAAAAAUCAUUUUGAACAUCAACACACUGUGAAAAUAUAAUCGCACACCCGUUUUCGAACUUCUUGGAAAAUUGCCCAAAAUUUGACGAAAGCGCGCAUAAAAGAAAAAACGCGGUGUGCGACAUGAAAAUACCAUUGGCAUCGGUUUAUUUAUUUUGUGGAAGAAGUUAAGACAAAAAAUUAAUAUUGGGUACCUAUAUAUAAAUAUAAAAAAGCUAUGAUUUGUGAAUAAGAAAAUAAUAAGAAUGAGAAAUACAUAUUGCAAGUUGAGAGCUUUUUGAUUUAUUGCACCAGACAUUAAGGUGAGUUUGCGUAUCAAAAUACUAUUGCUUCACAUCUUAUAGAGUGCAAAAAAAAACAACAAAGGCAGUCCAUCGUCGUAUUGAGCGAUAUAAUUGUUCAGUGUGUGCCUUCAUUAAAUUAAUUAAUGACUAAUAUAAAAAUAUGAGUCACUGAGGUAAGUUUCAUUACCAUGUGCUCAGCCUGGAUCACGCCAUUGUGUUUUGGGUUUUCUUUUUAAAUGAAAAUAAAAAAAAAAAGUUGUAAAAUUGUGCAAUUCUUCGGGGAGGAAUAGCACAAAAGUAGUGCAUCAUUACUAAUCAAACACAACACUUCUUCACCCAACGAAGGUGGAAGUGAAUCACCUUCGGAACUAUGUGAUGAAAAUUAAGUCAUGUCUCAUUGAAAUGGAAUUAAUCGAGAGAGAGAAAUAAUAUCCAAAAUAUGCUAUCACAAUAUUUAUUGAAAUUCACUCAAAAAUUGAGUGAAGCGAUAAAUAACCUCCUUUGAAUAAUUCAGCAGCUGCUUUUAUAAAUAUUUACCCAAGUGGUGGAUGUAUUUAUUCCUUUCCUCAGCACCUUCGCGGCGAAGCAACUAAAUAAAUUCUAUUAUAUUCACACACGGAAUUCUUUAUCAGUGACACUGCAAGUAAAUGAUUAAAUUUCUACAUAUAGUUUCAUCAGCGCUCUGGUAUAUUUUUAUCAAACACACAUAUUUUUCCCCACAUUUAUAGCUUUCUCAACUUGGCAACAAUAUAAAUUAUAAAUUACUCAUCAGUCGUGAUCAAUAAAAAAAAGAAGUAUUUUAUGAGAUAAUCAAAAAUGCCCCAUUUGCAAGCCAAAUUUUGCUGAAAAAGUUCCUGUACAAAAAUUUAAGUAAAAAACAGCAAUGUAAGCAGGUGAAAAAAUCAUCAUUAUUGAAGGAAAAAGAUUAUUUGCACAGAGACUGUUUCGUUCGAAUUUUAAUGAUGUGUUUAAAUUUUAUUUUAGUCAACCCUUAAUCGAAUAUAAAAUACAGUGGAGCUCCGUAGAGCAUCAUGUUUCUAAUUUUGAAAUUAAAUUUAUUUACUUACGUUAUUUAGAACUUUUGAAAAACUUUUUAUUAUUAUUAAUUUUUUUAUUUUUAUUAACUUUUUUUUUAAAUGGUACAAAACUCUUUAUUUUCAGAAUUUUGCUUAAAUAUUGACUUUUUAAAAAAAAAUUUUGAAGCUUAACUCUACGAAAAUUAAAAAGAAAAUCCAAUGAAUCUCCGAAUGAAAGGUAGGGGAGUAGUCAGAAAUUCAUUAAGUGUGUUUUGAAAUUAUAUUUUUAAAUUUUGUAGCCUAAAUAAAUUAAUUAAAAAAACGAUUUAACGUUUUUUUUUAAACAUUUCUUGAUGUUAUUUUUUUAAUGUCUAAAUGUUCCUUUUUUAAUAACAUUUUGACGUUUCUUUUCUAACGUUUGACAUUAGUUUUAAUAUUUUACGCUUCUUUUGUAAAGUUUGACGCAUUUUUUAACGUUUGACAAUUCUUUUCUAAUAUUCAACGACUUCUUUCUAAUAUUUUACAUUACAUAUUUGACAAUUAUUUUGUAAAACGUUUGAAAUUUUUUAAAAAUAUUUGUCGUUUUUUCUUUAACGUUAAAUGUUUGUUUUAUAACGUUUGAAAAUGUCUUUUUAAAUCUUAUUUUUUGUUGUUGUCCAAAGCAAUAUUGAAUUAUGGGAGUAAGAGAUGAAGACGAAAAUGCGUUCAUGUAAGGGUUAAUAAGAGCGUAAUACAACACUCGUAAUAAAAUUUUUUUCACAUUUUUCUUUUUUAAAUAUUUUCUUCCUCUUCAUGUCACUUUGUGAUAUUCCUUUAAACACUGCACAGCUUACCAGAGAUAAGUUUCCUCCUUCUUUACUCUACUCAUUCCUCACCAUUUAGCACACAGAAAUUGAUAUCCUGGUGUGCUGGAGAAGUAAAAGACCGCAAAAUAAAUAUGAUAGUAGCAAGUACUGAUAAAACCCCUUUCACAUCCAUUGUUCGCGACUGUGGUGUUUUAUAUCGUGCAAGAAUAUACCCAUGAAAAUGACUUGUACAUUGGAGUUAAUUUCUCUAUGUACGAGCUCUCCACUUUUUUUUCCCUUUUAGACUUUCUCAACCGGAGCUCUGUAACCCGAAGAGAUGGGGCAAUAUUAAAUGCAAAAAGUUUCUGCAAUUGUGGAAACCGUAUAAGUUAUUAUAUUAUAUGUAAUUUGGGAGAGUCGCAGAGGAGUCAGCUUCGGAGUUGAAUACAUAUAAGUGAAAAA